CAGUAGCCGCGGUAAUACGUAGGUCCCGAGCGUUGUCCGGAUAUAUUGGGCGUAAAGCGAGCGCAGGCGGUUAGAUAAGUCUGAGGUUAAAGGCUGUAGCUUAACCAUAGUACGCUUUGGAAACUGUUUAACUUGAGUGCAAGAGGGGAGAGUGGAAUUCCAUGUGUAGCGGUGAAAUGCGUAGAUAUAUGGAGGAACACCGGUGGCGAAAGCGGCUCUCUGGCUUGUAACUGACGCUGAGGCUCGAAAGCGUGGGGGGCAAACAGGAUUAGAUACCCCAGUAGUCCCUGUCUCUUAUACA
rnacentral:rRNA from 1 species